rnacentral:rRNA from 1 species
GUGCCAGCCACCGCGGUUAUACGAGAGGCUCAAGUUGAUAAGCGCCGGCGUAAAGCGUGGUUAAGUUAAAAGUCAUACUAAAGCCAAACAUCUUCAAGACUGUUAUACGUAACCGAAGACAGGAAGUUCAACCACGAAAGUGGCUUUUAUUGAUCUGACCCCACGAAAGCUAAGGAACAAACUGGGAU